rnacentral:tRNA from 1 species
GGCCAGGUAGUUCAGUGGUAGAACAUCGCCCUUCUGAGGCGUGAGGUGGCCUGUUCGAAUCAGGCUCUGGCUG